UGUUUCCCAUUUAAUUCCAAUCAUUCAUUUUCAAUUCAGUCUGUAUUAAAACCCGUGAAUAUUGUAAGCCAGACUGCGAGUCCUGCAUUCUCUACACACCAGAACGUGACACAGGAUAGAUCGUUUUGUGGUGGGACAUCCGGGCGGUCAGCUGCCUACACAUCGUGGAGACUUUUUACCUCUGGAUUGAAUUUUCUGGACACGUUUGAAAUCUAACUGUAAUCACAGAUUCACUUUGAAUAUGUUGGAAAUUCUUUUUUUUUUUUGCAUCCCUGUGAGACUGAAAGGCUCUGACAGCUGUGUUUCUGAAGGAAGAGCUCUUUAGACCCUGGCAUGACCUUCACACUCAGCUCUGUGUUCUCCAUACCACUGCAGGAAAACCACCACGACCCACUGAUGAAAAAUAUUCAAUGAAUAAAUGAAAGAUGAGCUAUUAUGAUUCAGUUUUCAAUCAAAAAUACAAAUGAAGUGUUUUCAUGGUGUUUUCUCACUGAGCUGCAUCUCCUGAUGAUCAGUAAGCUCGUCUUCUUCAUCCACUGUGUUUACAAAGAUCAUGGUCACUCGUGAAAUCAUGUCAUGAAGGGCAUCCACUUAAAAAAAUACUAAUAAUAGACUGAAAUUUUAGAAUCUGCCAACUGAAACAUACAGAGCUUUCCACUGUGGUGACCUCGUGUGAAUAACGGAGCAAC